UUGGAUGCACCAAUCUUGUCUUGUAACUUUUGUCGGGUGUUUUAACUGUAUCUUUACUCUUUUGUUAUUGUAUUUAUGGUUGAUAUCUUGGUGUAUUCCAAGAGUGAGGUUAAGCAUAAGGAUUAUUUGUAGAUUGUGCUUCAAGGAUUGAGGGAUGAGAAGUUGUAUGCCAAGUUCUCUAACUGGGAGUUUUGGUUGGAGACUGUUUUUAG
rnacentral:lncRNA from 1 species